UAACAUAUGGUGAAUCAUGAUAACUUUACGAAUCGCAUGGKCUUUUGUGCCGGCGAUAGUUCAUUCAAAUAUCUGCCCUAUCAACUUUCGAUGGUAGUAUAGAGGACUACCAUGGUGUUAACGGGUAACGGAGAAUCAGGGUUUGAUUCCGGAGAAGGAGCCUGAGAAACGGCUACUACUUCCAAGGAAGGCAGCAGGCGCGCAAAUUACCCAAUCCCGACACGGGGAGGUAGUGACAAAAAAUAACAAUACCGGUCUUAUUUAAGUCUGGUAAUUGGAAUGAGUACAAUCUAAAUCCUUUAACGAGUAUCAAUUGGAGGGCAAGUCUGGUGCCAGCAGCCGCGGUAAUUCCAGCUCCAAUAGCAUAUAUUAAAGUUGUUGCAGUUAAAAAGCUCGUAGUUGGAUUUUGAAGUUUACAUAUUAUGACCCACUUUGUAUUARGUGUGUUUUGUUGUGAUAUGUACUUCUCCUUACUAGACUU
rnacentral:rRNA from 1 species